UCGGGAAUUUUGGGCAAUGGGCGAAAGCCUGACCCAGCAACGCCGCGUGAAGGAUGAAGUAUUUCGGUAUGUAAACUUCGAAAGAAUAGGAAGAAUAAAUGACGGUACUAUUUAUAAGGUCCGGCUAACUACGUGCCAGCAGCCGCGGUAAUACGUAGGGACCAAGCGUUAUUCGGAUUUACUGGGCGUACAGGGAGCGUAGGCGGUUCGGUAAGCCCUUUGUGAAAUCUCCAGGCUUAACCUGGAAAAGUCGGAGGGGACUGCCGGGCUAGAGGACGGGAGAGGAGCGCGGAAUUCCCGGUGUAGCGGUGAAAUGCGUAGAGAUCGGGAGGAAGGCCGGUGGCGAAGGCGGCGCUCUGGAACGUUUCUGACGCUGAGGCUCGAAAGCGUGGGGAGCAAACGGGAUUAGAUACCCUCGUAGUCCCUGAGCGGGCUGGCAAGGCGCAU
rnacentral:rRNA from 1 species